UAAAAAAAAACUAUAAUUUAAAAAGGUAUACGGGAAGGUUUGCUGCAUGAUUCAAUAAGAACAGGUUUGCUCAGAAACCAGGGCUCAAAUCGUCCCAUACGAUAUCGUACUACUCGUCACGUAAAAAUACAUUUUUCGGAUUAUGACAUACGUGAUCGUACCCUUUGUCCAAUUCAGUUUAUACUGACCGACGUAUGACAUAAUUUUCUUUCGUAUCAUUUUCGAUCCGUGAACGGAUGUUACGAUUCCAGCCCAGCUUUCUCGGUCCCUCUUGACAAAAUCGGCUCCCUAUUUGUUUGUAGAAGGAUGAGCGUUUAAAAUUUAUUCACACUGACUUAUUGAACGAGCGAAUUUUAAGGUAUUCGCUCUCUGUUACCCAUUUUUCUAGCUUGAGGAACGCUUUCUGGGCUGUUUUGGGCACUCGCGGGCUCAUGUGGAACAAACCUACUUGCUGUGUUUCCUUGCACAAUGAUUGGGACAACGACGUGAUCCUGAUAGAGAUCUGGUUCAGUUUAUGAUCUGCUGUUUGCUGCACGGUUUGGUAGCACUGACAAAUGAUUGUAAACGCAUACAAAUAUUCUGCCAUUUGUGGCUCUUAACUUGAUUCAAAUAUUUAAGUGAAUAUUAUUUCGUUUAAAUGUACAUUUCCGCAUUUAGUGAGUUAUUUUUUAAAAUGUCGUCUCUCUCGUGCUAGUAGUAUAAAAUUAGUGCUGCCAAUCCCAACGAGAAUGAUCCCGAUCGUUUCAUGUGAAAUGAUCGUGAUACUGAAUUGCAUAACCCAAGGAAGCAACUAUAAUGUUCACUGUCUUGGUUACCCUGUUUUAAAUCUAAAACUUGGCAUCACUCUGCAGACCGUAUACGUGAUUUGUCUUGACAACGACGGCCAACUUCGCGUGAAUUCUGAGUUCUCUCUUUUGCAUUUGACAUUAAAAUGGCUAACCGUGGAGGAAAUCGUGCUCGUCAGGAAGAAGUGGAUAAUACCAUUAAUUACGUACAAUGUGACGGCUUGAUUCGACAAAUGCAGGUUUAUUGGCCAGGAGCUGCGUUGAAGCCUGCUUCAUAGCGGCAGCAGUUGUCAAAAUUUCACACGUUUGCGAUUUGUGAGCAAUAGAGAGAGCGCUCUUUAGCGUUGCCAAUAGCGCAAAUUAAUUUGUUCUGUUGUUUAAUUAUUUACACCAUGUAUUUAU